CCAAUAUUGAAGACUUCCUCAAUUUUGAGAAAACUAUUCUGGAAGAUGCAGAUAAAUUUUCCUUGCUGAAGGCAGAUCUAAAAAGAUGGUCAACAUCCAAUUCAAGAAAAUUUUGUUACGAAGCGUAGCAGAAGAUUAUGACUGACAACGUUGCUGAGAGCUUUUCCUGGCGAAGAACUGCAGAUAAGAAGUGCAUCAGGGCCUUCACUGUCGCCACUGCUAUUCAUCAAACUUUCGCUGAAAAUGGAGGCAAGGAAGAGGACUUUGUGUUUGCCUCUAAGUCAUAUUUUCAGUACGCAAAAAAUCCUAUUAAAAUU